rnacentral:rRNA from 1 species
AUUGAACGCUGGCGGCAAGCCUAACACAUGCAAGUCGAGCGGUAGCACAGAGAGCUUGCUCUCGGGUGACGAGCGGCGGACGGGUGAGUAAUGUCUGGGAAACUGCCUGAUGGAGGGGGAUAACUACUGGAAACGGUAGCUAAUACCGCAUAACGUCGCAAGACCAAAGUGGGGGACCUUCGGGCCUCAUGCCAUCAGAUGUGCCCAGAUGGGAUUAGCUAGUAGGUGGGGUAACGGCUCACCUAGGUGACGAUCCCUAGCUGGUCUGAGAGGAUGACCAGCCACACUGGAACUGAGAAACGGUCCAGACUCCUACGGGAGGCAGCAGUGGGGAAUAUUGCACAAUGGGCCCAAGCCUGAUGCAGCCAUGCCGCGUGUGUGAAGAAGGCCUUCGGGUUGUAAAGCACUUUCAGCGGGGAGGAAGGCGGUGAGGUUAAUAACCUCACCGAUUGACGUUACCCGCAGAAGAAGCACCGGCUAACUCCGUGCCAGCCGCCGCCGUAACAC